rnacentral:rRNA from 1 species
UACAUGGGGUGCAAACGUUGCUCGGAAUUAUUGGGCGUAAAGCGCACGUAGGCGGUUUGUUAAGUCGGAUGUGAAAUCCCUCGGCUCAACUGAGGAAGUGCAUCCGAAACUGGCAAGCUUGAGUACGAAAGAGGAUCGCGGAAUUCCCGGUGUAGAGGUGAAAUUCGUAGAUAUCGGGAGGAACACCAGUGGCGAAGGCGACUACCUGGCCUGUUCUUGACGCUGAGGCGCGAAAGCUAGGGGAGCAAACGGG